CCUACGGGUGGCAGCAGGGAGGAAUAGUGGGCAAUGGGCGCGAGCCUGAACCAGCCAAGGAGCGUGAAGGAUGACAGCCCUACGGGUUGUAAACUGCCUUUAUAAAGGAAUAAAGUGAGGCACGUGUGCCUUUUUGUAUGUACUUUAUGAAUAAGGAUAGGCGAACUCCGUGCCAGCAGCCGCGGUAAUACGGAGGAUCCGAGCGUUAUCCGGAUUUAUUGGGUUUAAAGGGAGCGUAGAUGGGUUGUUAAGUCAGUUGUGAAAGUUUGCGGCUCAACCGUAAAAUUGCACUUGAUACUGGCAGUCUUGAGUACGGUUGAGGUAGGCGGAAUUCGUGGUGUAGCGGUGAAAUGCUUAGAUAUCACGAAGAACUCCGAUUGCGAAGGCAGCUUACUAAACUGCCACUGACAUUGAUGCUCGAAAGUGUGGGUAUCAAACAGGAUUAGAUACCCUUGUAGUC
rnacentral:rRNA from 1 species